UCCGGCAUGGUCUAGUGGCUAGGAUACUUGGGUCUCACCCGGGAGGCCCGGGUUCGAUUCCCGGUGUCGGAA
rnacentral:tRNA from 1 species